rnacentral:rRNA from 1 species
UACGUAUGGUGCGAGCGUUGUCCGGAAUUAUUGGGCGUAAAGAGCUCGUAGGCGGUCUGUCGCGUCGGUCGUGAAAACCUGCAGCUUAACUGUGGGCGUGCGGUCGAUACGGGCAUGACUGGAGUUCGGCAGGGGAGACUGGAAUUCCUGGUGUAGCGGUGAAAUGCGCAGAUAUCAGGAGGAACACCGGUGGCGAAGGCGGGUCUCUGGGCCGAUACUGACGCUGAGGAGCGAAAGCGUGGGGAGCGAACAGG